UUCCAGUGUAGGAUAUAAAUCCUUUACUCUCUGCCCUUACUAUAGUUCUAUUGUGACUACUCCACAGAAGCUGUAAGAACACCCAGAUCGUGUCAAAAUGAAGGUGUUUGUCCUGGCGAUUUUGUUGGUUGCAGUCUGCUGUUUGAAAGGUGCUGUUGUGAAGCGGGAUGAAGGAGAAGCCAAAACACAGGUAGAAGCACACAGCCAG